CUUGAACACAACACGCUGGUAACGACCAGUUCACAAAUGGAAAAUAUCAUCUUUCCCAUAGCACUUGAAGGCAGCAUGAGAAGAUGACAACAGCACAGCGGGGUUUUAGAAGCCAAUCAGAGUGAUUUUCUGAGUUCUUUCACAUAUGCUGUAUGGUCAGCGAAUGGAUGGAUUAUCCAGUCACGCUACAUAAUGAAAGACUUGACUGAGUUAGAAGAAACUGAGCGACUCUUCAGAGUGAAGAUGUUAUGAUGCAGUUAUGUCAAAGCACUCGUUUCGGCUGGCCAGAUUGGAACAGACCUGAAUGGGAAGAUGGCAGAGCUAAGACUGGCAAUGUCCAGGAAAAAUGUUAACUAAAAAUGAGUGUGUUUUUCCCCAGCGAGUGAGUUUGGGAAUGUUUUAAAUGUGCCUAGAAGUUUGAAAAUGUAAUACUGAGGGAAAAAAGUGAGCGAUUUGAAAAGGCUUUAAAAAGAAAAUAAAGUCUGAUGUUGAUGUUAAAUGAAGUUAAAGUUUUUACUUGAAAAGUUUGUACUUGUUUGUACUUGUCAAGUCUGUGCUGAAAAAAAUGCAGUAAAGUUUGUAUUUGAAAAGA